CUACGGGUGGCUCCAGUGGGGAAUCUUGCACAAUGGAGGAAACUCUGAUGCAGCGAUGCCGCGUGAGUGAAGAAGGCCCUUGGGUUGUAAAGCUCUUUUGUCGGGAAAGAUAAUGACUGUACCCGAAGAAUAAGGUCCGGCUAACUUCGUGCCAGCAGCCGCGGUAAUACGAAGGGACUUAGCGUAAUUCGGAAUUACUGGGCGUAAAGCGCGCGUAGGCGGUUAAGUAAGUUAAUUGUGAAAGCCCAAAGCUCAACUUUGGAAUUGCAAUUAAAACUACUUAGCUAGAGUUUAUCAGAGGAAAGCGGAAUACAUAGUGUAGAGGUGAAAUUCGUAGAUAUUAUGUAGAACACCAGUUGCGAAGGCGGCUUUCUGGGAUAACACUGACGCUGAGGUGCGAAAGUAUGGGUAGCGAAGAGGAUUAGAUACCCUAGUAGUC
rnacentral:rRNA from 1 species